rnacentral:misc_RNA from 1 species
GAUGAAGAACGUAGCGAAAUGAGAUAAGUAAUGUGAAUUGCAGAAUUCAGUGAAUCAUCGAAUCUUUGAACGCACAUUGCGCCCCCCAGUAUUCUGGCGGGCAUGCCUGUUCGAGCGUCAUUUCAACCAUCAAGCCCUGCUUGUGUUGGGGUCCUGCGGCUGCCCGCAGGCCCUGAAAACCAGUGGCGGGCUCGCUAGUCACACCGAGCGCAGUAGCACAUCUCGCUCAGGGCGUGCGGCGGGCUCCAGCCGUUAAAGCACCCACCUUUCGCAAGGUUGACCUCGGAUCAGGAAGGAAUACCCGCUGAACUUAAGCAUAUCAAUAAGCGGAGGA